ACCAGGACUAAACCGGGACUAAACCGGGACUAAACCGGGACUAAACCAGGACUAAACCAGGACUAAACCAGGACUAAACCGGGACUAAACCGGGACUAAACCGGGACUAAACCGGGACUAAACCGGGACUAAACCGGGACUAAACCGGGACUAAACCAGGACUAAACCAGGACUAAACCAGGACUAAACCGGGACUAAAGUGGGACUAAACCAGGACUAAACCAGGACUUAACCAGGACUAAACCAGGACUAAACCAGGACUAAACCAGGACUAAAGUGGGACUAAACCAGGACUUAACCAGGACUAAACCGGGACUAAAGUGGGACUUAACCAGGACUAAACCGGGACUAAACCAGGACUAAACCAGGACUAAAGUGGGACUUAACCAGGACUAAACCGGGACUAAACCAGGACUAAACCAGGACUAAACCGGGUCUAAACCGGGACUAAACCAGGACUAAACCAGGACUAAAGUGGGACUAAACCGGGACUAAACCGGGACUAAACCAGGACUAAACCAGGACUAAACCAGGACUAAACCAG
ensembl:lncRNA